AUGGCUGUCGUCAGCUCGUGUCGUGAGAUGUUGGGUUAAGUCCCGCAACGAGCGCAACCCUUAUUCUAUGUUGCCAGCGGAUUAUGCCGGGGACUCGUAGAAGACUGCCGGGGUCAACUCGGAGGAAGGUGGGGACGACGUCAAGUCAUCAUGCCCCUUAUGUCCAGGGCUGCAAACACGCUACAAUGGCCGGUACAAAGGGCUGCUAACUCGCGAGAGCCAGCGAAUCCCGUAAAGCCGGUCUCGGUUCGGAUUGGAGGCUGCAACUCGCCUCCAUGAAGCUGGAGUUGCUAGUAAUCCCGGAUCAGCACGCCGGGGUGAAUACGUUCCCGGGCCUUGUACACACCGCCCGUCACACCACGAAAGUCGGCAACACCCGAAGCCGGUGGCCUAACCCGUAAGGGGAGGAGCCGUCGAAGGUGGGGUCGGUGAUUGGGGUGAAGUCGUAACAAGGUAGCCGUACCGGAAGGUGCGGCUGGAUCACCUCCUUUCUAAGGAGAACAGUUCAAUCGUUGGUAGGCAUUCGUCCUACCCGGUUCGAACCACUCCCAGUUGGUGCAUUGGUGGGUCAGUCGAAACGGCAGGUCAAUCGCAGGAUUCGUCCUCUUGGCACGCCGGCUCGACGAGCUCUGUCUUCUCUUCCGUUUUGAGGGAGUCGACCCAUUCGGGUUUGUCGACCCUCGGCGCACGGCAUGGAGCUCCCGCUCCCGCUGCCCACGGAGUGUCCCGUUCGAUGAAAUGUCGAACGCGCGGCCCCGUCCGCUGCCCUUUGAGAACUGCAGAGCAAGCACGAGCAUCUUUGUUCUUCCAAGCUACAAAGAGCCAACGGUGGAUGCCUUGGCGCCAAGAACCGAUGAAGGACGUGAGUGACUGCGAAAAGCUGCGGGUAGCCGUCUACUAGGCAUUGAUCCGCAGAUGUCCGAAUGGGGAAACCCGG
rnacentral:sRNA from 1 species